UACGUAGGUGACAAGCGUUGUCCGGAUUUACUGGGCGUAAAGAGCGCGCAGGCGGUCGUUCAAGUCGAGUGUGAAAAGCCCCCGGCUCAACUGGGGAGGGUCAUCGAUACUGAUCGACUCGAAGGCAGGAGAGGGUAGUGGAAUUCCCGGUGUAGUGGUGAAAUGCGUAGAUAUCGGGGAGGAACACCAGUGGCGAAGGCGACUACCUGGCCUGUUCUUGACGCUGAGGCGCGAAAGCUAGGGGAGCAAACGGGG
rnacentral:rRNA from 1 species